UACGGAGGGGGCUAGCGUUGUUCGGAAUUACUGGGCGUAAAGGGCUCGUAGGCGGCCAACUAAGUCGGAUGUGAAAUCCCCAGGCUCAACUUGGGAACUGCAUCCGAUACUGGAUGGCUUGAAUUCGGGAGAGGGAUGCAGAAUUCCAGGUGUAGCGGUGAAAUGCGUAGAUAUCUGGAGGAAUACCGGUGGCGAAGGCGGCAUCCUGGACCGACAUUGACGCUGAGGAGCGAAAGCUAGGGGAGCAAACGGG
rnacentral:rRNA from 1 species